rnacentral:ncRNA from 1 species
AAAUUGGCAUGGAAGAGAAAUAGUAGCUAUAAUGACGAUUGCAGCGAAUUAGGGAUGGUGAAAGCCUAAUAUCUUAAGUUUUAGUGAAGACAUCUCAGAGUCUACUAUCGUAUAUAAAAAGAUAGUACGUAUUCAGGCGUUAACUGUUAAAGAAUAACCAAUACUUUUGUAUAGUUAUUAAAUUUAUCUAGUGGGUGGUAUUGGUUGUAUAUAAACAAGUGGGUUUAACCAAUUAGGGUGGCACCGCGGGAAUCAAUGCUCUCGUCCCUAUG